rnacentral:rRNA from 1 species
UGCCAGCCGCCGCGGUAACACGUACUGUGCGAACGUUGUUCGGAUUUACUGGGCGUAAAGAGCGCGUAGGCGGCUUCAUAAGUUAAGGGUGAAAUCCCGGGGCUUAACUCCGGAACCGCUCUUGAAACUGUGGAGCUAGAGACAAUCAGAGGUGGGUGGAAUUCCAGGUGUAGAGGUGAAAUUCGUAGAUAUCUGGAGGAACACCGGUGGCGAAGGCGGCCCACUGGGAUUGUUCUGACGCUGAGGCGGGAAAGCGUGGGGAGCGAACGGGAUUAGAUA